UUAUGAAAAUCCGUUCCAUUAAAAGCAAGCAGUUGUCAGAACUCACAAGCUACAUAGUGUCAGACCUGGUCAGUACUGAGAUGGGAGACCCCCAAGGCAAAUCAAGGUCACUGCAGGAA
rnacentral:rRNA from 1 species